AUUGAACGCUGGCGGCAGGCCUAACACAUGCAAGUCGAGCGGACGAAGGGAGCUUUCUCCUGGCUUCAGCGGCGGACGGGUGAGUAAUGCCUAGGAAUCUGCCUUGUAGUUGGGGAUAACGUCCGUAAGCGGGCGCUAAUACCGCAUACGUCAUGAUGGAGAACGUGGGGGAUCUUCGGACCUCACGCUAUCAGAUGAGCCUAGGUCGGAUUAGCUAGUUGGUGUGGUAAAGGCCUACCAAGGCGACGAUCCGUAACUGGUCUGAGAGGAUGAUCAGUCACACUGGAACUGAGACACGGUCCAGACUCCUACGGGAGGCAGCAGUGGGGAAUAUUGGACAAUGGGCGAAAGCCUGAUCCAGCCAUGCCGCGUGUGUGAAGAAGGUCUUCGGAUUGUAAAGCACUUUAAGUUGGGAGGAACAGCAGUGAGUGAAUACCUUGCUGUUUUGACGGUACCAACAGAAUAAGCACCGGCUAACUUCGUG
rnacentral:rRNA from 1 species